GAUUUUAUAUUUGUUCAGUUUGAUUUUAGCUUUUAAUUUGAAGGUCAACAAUGCCAGCUUCAUAUCCUGAGGAUGUUCAAAGCAGUGAGCCAAGAUUUACUAGUGCCACUCCGUCCACUUUUGAAUCAGUCAGAUCUUCGGGACAGUCGAAGUCGAUGCUGCUGCCAUAGCCGCAGUCGCAGCCACAAACAUAGACGCAGACGCAGCCACCAUCGCCGCCGCCGUUACCGCCAUGCAGUGAUCAGAACAAUGAAGGAACUAGAUCUAAGAGGAGGAGAGG